GAUUCUCAUCAUAUUAGAAUUAUAAUGUCAUUGUUGGCACCUUUGAAUGUGGAGCGGGCAGUGUGUGUCGCUGUCAUUGGUUGGAAAGAGGUGUAGACACGGGUUGUAUUUCAGUUACUGUAUAAUUGUUAUUGGCAUAUAUGACAAGAAUUGUAAUUAUUAUUGAGAUAUAUAUAUUGUUUUCUUACUUAUUAACAAGUUUGGUAUUGGUUAGUAAUGUGUAUUUGUUUGUCAAGAGGAAGUUUUCUUUUAGGGUCUGUGUAUGUAACACGGAUAUAUAUUAUACCGCACUCAGGGUGUAGGGGUAAGGUAGGCCUGUCAGGGGUGAGUGGCGGUUGUUUGACUGAGGUGAGUUUUGUGAUAACAUUAUUUCUCUGAUUUGUUUGACUUAUGUUAUGCCGCUGAUUGUGCAUAUUGGUUGGUGUUAUAUUAAAUGCGGUGCUGAUAGGAGGAUUUGAUUAAGUGUAACUUUGCAGCAUAGUUGGGGUAAUGCUGUAAUCAGACAUGUGGUGAAGUCUGCCUUGGCUGAUGAUGGGCGGUCAUUUUGCUGAAUCAAUCAAUAAAUCAAGAUACAGCAAGUCA